UGUCUUUAACCUCCCACCUCCCGUUAUAAAAAGCAGCCUCAGAUACUCAUCACAUCUGCUGUGGCUGCUUCUCGUGUUAACAGGAUCACUAUGACGACUCAAGUUCUCAUCACAUUUGUAGUCUCGUCUCUGUGGCUUCAAGGUCACUGCCAGGAUGUGACCCAAUACCCUGAAAUCAGUUGGAGUUAUGUUUUCAAAUCUGCAGAGAUAAACUGCAACCACAACAAAGAUGCUGGUCAUAACCAGAUGUACUGGUACAGACAGCGUCCAGGGGAGACCAUGACCCUCAUAGUCUACACAGUUUAUGGUGGACAGCCAGACUAUGGGGGGGUCUCUCAAACCAAAUAUUCAGCAAUCAAAGACAAAAUAGAGAGCGGGGCUCUUACUGUGAAAGACUUGCAGCCUGAUGACAGCGGUGUGUAUUUUUGUGCCGUCAGUAAACACAGUGAUGUGAGAAGUAUGAGCGGCUGAACAAAAACUGGUUGACAAUACAUUUGGUGAGUGUAUUAGAGACCAAGUGUUGGUUGUUAUAUCUGUCCAGUAGGUGGAGCUGGAGCUUCAGAAAUACUCUCCAGUUAAACACAGGCAGCACUGUGAAAUAUGAUGUAGCUGGUAUAGAUUUGACAGGAAGGUGUUGAUAAAGAGUCUACAGUAAACAGAGACACUCAGUGAUCUGUGUUCAUUCAGACAGGAGGA